AAUAGGUUAUAAAAGAUAAUUUAUUUUUCAUAUACAAUACAUGUUUUUGUUUUCAUUUUUUACAAGCUAAUAUAUAUGGCAUAUAUUUUUAGUAAGAUUAUCAUACGUUUUGAAAAUUAUAUAAGCAAACGCUAUCCAGAGUCUUUGUCACGGUCGAGAAAUCAAUCAAUCCGCAAUUGAUUUACCAAAUACUCAACAAACAAUAAAAAUAUUCAACAUGUACGAGCUUUAUCUUUAAAGUCUAAGCCGACAUUACGACCAAAAUUUCUGCAUUUUUUACAUACCUAAUUUCAUACUCGUACAAGUACGAAUGUAUUCAAAUAGUAUUUAUUUUUCUGAAGUAUAGUAAUAAACGAAUAUAUCUACAAACAAAAUCUAGUGACAGACAUCUCUUAGGAUCUCAAAAUAUAAGUACAAUUCGCAUGUAUGGAAAAAAGACAGUCUGCUACUAGUUGAGCUUGUAGCUUAUAACCAGAUGACUUAACUACGGGGUACAAAUACGAAUCUAUCAUUGUAUUGCAGACAAAUUUGAUGUUAUGUCGGCGAACGAUGGUCGUCAUUCGUUGCAGGAAUAUCGUAAAUUGUACACGGCGUAUAAUACAUACACAUAAAUCCUCACUGAGUUUAUGUACAUAUUUAUGUAUAUAUUUUUAAGUGUACAUGCACAUGAGCGCUUAAAUAUAUAUGUAUCCACAUGCAUCCACAUGCGGCUUUUAUAACUUGUGUACUAAAUAUAGCAGCAGCAGCUGUACACAUAAAUAUACCAUAUAACAUAUAUAGUAUAUACUAGCAUAUGCACGUACUUUAGUUUUUUGUAUGUAUGCGCUUUGUUGCACAUAUGUAUAUGUCUAUACUUAUAUACUUGGGACUUCGUAUACGGUGCGGUUCAUGUACUUUAAUGGCCUACAUAUUAUAUAUAUGUAUGUAUGUAUAUCUAGACCAAAUAUACUCCUAUGUACAUACAUAUAUAUGUAACUGUAUGCAGAGUGCACUGCACUCGUGUCUCCACUAUGGGAACUUAAUCGAUCAGAAAAGCAAGAUGACUUUACUUAGAAAAGAACGUACUAUGUAUAUAUUAAAUUCUUAUAACAAAUUUUUGCAAUUAAUGAGUUACCUUAGUUUUUACAGAUCCAUUCGCAAUCUUGCAACUUCAAAAACAAAAAUACAGCUUUCAAAUAAGCACACCAUUAUGAUUUCAACAAAUACAUACAUAUGUAUGUAUUUAACAUGUAUUUAUAUAAAUUCAUAUAUUUUAAAGUAAAAAAUAAACAUACAUAUAUUUAAAAUAUUCAUAGGAGAUAUGUAUACAUUUAUGUAUAUACUGAUAUAUAAUGAUAUGCACCUGUUUACACCUAUCGCUAUAGGUCAGUGCAAUGAAAAUAUUUAAAUUAACUUAACAGACACACUGCAUUGUAAAUAUGUAGUAUAUGCAUACAUUUGCUUUCAUAAAACAAUUCACUACGAAACUAAGUAAAUAUGAAUAGUCAUAUGUACAUCCAUACGAGUAUAACAAGAUUUACGUUUGUAUGCACGCAUGCACACUUUUUAGCUUUUUUUCUUCUUAUUUUAUUGUAGUAUUAUUAUAUUAUUAGCACGUAUUUGCACCGAUAUUUUCCACUGGUGCGUAUAUUUUUCAUAUUUCUUUAUUUUUUUCAGUGUAUUUGGGAGGCGUGGAUACACUAGGGCACUAAUAUAGGGUAUCGGAACGAACGCGGCGCAAUUCUCUUGUUCUCCACAGUUUAUCAAUACGAUGUUUCCGUUUAUGUUGUUUGUGCGAUACUGAAAAUUUAAAAACUUCACAACGUCGUUGUUGUUUGUUGCGUGAAAGUUCGUUACAUUUUUUCUUCUUUCAGCAUGCGCUCGGCAAAACUUUCGCUUCGGUUGCCACGAUUCGAUUCGGCGGCCGUCGUUGCUUCGCUCACCUUUUCGUGCUUUCAAUUUACGGGUAGCCCAUCAACUUUAUUCCUGGUGUCGCUGAUUAUAUUAUAUCUUUCCACAGCAUACAUAGUGCCUUUUGUUAAGGAAGCAUGGCCAAAUAUUAUCUGCCAAUUUAAUAAUGUGUUCACCUGACAGUUCUCUCAAUCUCUACAGUCUAGACCGGCGUUUAAAUUGGAAGGAACUUUAUAGCGUGUUUAUUAAAAGAAAAGUCUGUAAUAAGUAUGUAUAUGUAUGCUGUGACACUAUUUACAAAAACAAAUUGUACUAUGCCGCCAUGUGUGACGUAACUCUUUUGAGUUGAGAAGAAGAAGCAUAAAACAGCAUGUAAAUUGUAAACAACGACGUAAGCACUUUUGUUAAUUCGUGAAAUAAACCUAAUUUAUGGUAAAAAAGUUUUUGUGAAAUGAAUAUAAUAAUAUUGCGUGAAAAUAUUUUUCUUAUUUUCAAAUAAAUACAUGACAAAAUAAUUGUCGACUAAGCCAAAAUCUACAAACUGUUUUACUACACAAUUAAAAUAAAUUUCCACCUAUUCCAUUGGCACAUUCCAUACAUCUCAAAGAAAAUUACAGCAGUAUGAAAAUGCUAUUAACGGCAUUUAAAUAUAUGCAAUACAAGUGGGAUGUUAUUGAAGGCUUGAAGAUGGUAUGGCGUUUUUGACCGGAAUGCACGGUAGGUAUACUUAAAACUCCUGUUAUCUUUGCCUCUGGGAUAGUAUGAAUUAUGCGGCUCGGUACCUGGAAUCUCUGUAGGCCUUCAAAUAAAAAAAUUAUGGAUUGUGAUAUUUUAAGUUACUUAGCAAUGAGGAGAAAAACGCCUGAAACUGUUUUAAGGUGCAUGGUUUCCUUAAAAACUAUAGGACUGACAAUAAUGAUGACCUGAUCUCUGACAUGAAUUCGAAUUUUUCCACCAUCGGACGUAGAAUGUCUCAUAAGAUGGCCAUGUUACAUUCUGAUUUAAAUAAAUUUAAAGAUAAUAUAGGAGCUUAUUCGGAAAAACAAGGAGAACGCUGUCAUCAAGAUUAAGGGGUUAAUAAGAGAAACAUGACAGGAAAAAUAAAACUGCAAAUUUUUAAAUAUUUGGAGUAUAUUUUUAAAUGUCUAUUGUAAAAAUGAAUCCUCAGUGGAUGAUCGGUAUCUUGUAAUAAAUUAUUUAUAUAUAAUAUAAAAAAUACCUCCCGGGCCCUUAAUUCUCAAAGGGGCCUGUAUUUUUCAAAAUAUUAAAUGAAUAGUUAAAACUUUUGUAAUUUAAUUUGCAAAACAUUGGAAAAUUACAACAUUCCUUUGGAAUAUUGCCGUGGACAGUACUACGAUAAUGGAAGUAAUAUGAGCGAUAAAUAUGAAGGAACGUGUAUGCUGUUCUUUCGCCCUGUGAUGCCCACACGCUGAAUUUGGUUGGAGUCGACUCUGCUAAAUACUGUCCUCGAGCAAUAACUUUUUUGGUGUCGUGCAAAAAUGUUUUAAUAUUUUCAAUUCCAGCACACAAUGUGGAUGUGUUCGCCAAUUGCGAAAAAUCUUUCCGGAUUGAUAAAGGCUUUGAAAGAAGUUAAAAACUCAACUUUACGGCAAAACCUCGUCGAGACGUUGAUGGAAUUUCGAAAUCUAUGAGCAAAUUUUAAUGCAUUCUGAUGCUCUCUAUAUGGUGUAAAAUUCUUCAGUCAAUCAAUGAAAGACACUUGGUUCUUCAAGAGACCAAUGCCACCAUCGACGCUGAAGUUAGAAACAUACCAUAGAAAAUCUUCUAGUAGAUUUGCUAUUUCUGCGUGACCAGCGGAAAUCAAUUUAUAAUGGAUGCAAAAUUGUAACAGAGAAUUUAGAACAUGUCGAGACGAUUUUACCAUCAGCAAGAAAAAAGAAACACGGAAACGGAUGAAAAGUAAAGAAGAAACCGAAUUUAAAAGAAAUCAUUCUCAGGUUCAAGUAAAAAUUAAUGAAAAAAUUCCUACACAUCUUUGUUAUUUAAAUUAAUUAUUAUUUUAACUAUUUAAUUAAUGAUUUAAUUAUUUAAUAAUUUUGUAUUAUUUACUUUAUUUUAAUUAUUUCGAAUUUAGGGGCUUUUGUUUUCUAUUUAGGGACUUUUAUUAAAUGCUUGAGGGGAAAGUUUUUUCAAGAGUUAGAGACACUGGUAAAUUUUGUGAAUUUGAAGCAUAAAUAUUACUUUGUAAACUGUCGAAACGCAAGUGUGUUUUCAGCAAUAAUUUGAAGAAAAAAUAUUAUUUUUUGAGAGUCACAUAUGACGACUGCAACUUUCGUUGCGACAAAUAGAAAGCAACUUUUUCGGUUGCUGCUGGUGAAGGCAAUAAUAUUGAAAAUCAUUGGAAGACAAAAAAGCACAAAGUGGCAGCAAAUGCUUCUCCUCAAACUUCAAUCAUAUCAGAUUUUUUCAUCGGAGAGAAACCAGAUUUGCAUGUAUCGACGAUGGAAGGCGUAUGGGCGUACCACACAUUUGAUGAGAGUCACAGUUACAGCUUCUUAUUGUAGAUCAAACGACUGUGCAAACAAAAUAUUUCGAACCUGUUUCCAAAUGAAAAAAAUUUCGUUCUCAAGAACAUAAAGUGAAGCGAUAAUAAGCAAUGUUUUUGCACCAUACGCAUUGGAAUGCCUCAAGUCUGAUUUACAGAAAGUCCGAAUCAUUUGCUUCGCAUUGAUCGGAAAAGUGAAGGAAAUGUUUUUGCAAAAUUAAAGAACUUAAAAUCGAACAUAGUUGGUGUAGGUUGUGCAGCACAUAUCGAUGCGAUUCGUACCGCAUGUCAUGCACUUGAUGUUGAAAUAGACAGCAUUGUUGUACAGAUCUACACACCUUUUUACAUCCACACCAUUCUCACAGCAGCAUUAAAGUCAAUCUGCAAAAUUUCUGAAGACGAAUUUCAACAUUUAAUGAACACAUUUACAAACAUCCAACCAACACAAUUACUUUCCGUUGCAACUUGAAACAAUUUGAAGAAAAGGCGAGACAAUUUCGAAGUGAUUGCUACGAAUAUUUUGAGGCAUGGGAUCAACAGUUUGCUCAUGUAAAACUAUUUGGUUGUGUGCUACUCACUGAUAAACUCGACUGGGAAAAAAUUGAGAAAACGUUUAUUUUCCUCCCAGAAAAUAAUAUUUUGAAAGCACCAGACACUACUUCACAUAAGCUUUUCGAAGAAUUCACUUAUAUCUCUCAGUAUAUAGGUGGCAAACGAAUUGAAGAUUGGAGCAAAGAACAGACAUCCGUUGAUGAACGUUGAGUUCAAUGUUUUACUUUUCUGUUGAAGCAAAACAUACCAUUCGUUUAGCUUUCAGAGAUCUUUGAAUAUGCUCUGACACUACCAGGAUCAUCGGCGCCACUGGAACGCAUAUUUUCCACCAUUAACAGAAUGUGAACAUACGAAAAAACUUCCCUACAAGUCAAUACCGUGAAAUCGAUUUUAUUUGUGAAGAAUAAUUCAAAAUUUUCUUGUUUGGAACUUUUCACUCACUUAAAAUCGCACCCCGAGCUUCUUUGAAAAAUCAAUCGACAAGAGAAAUACUUCAGACCGAAGAUGUCUUCAGCAAUUCUGGGAACACCGUCCACUUCAUCAACUGAUAUACAAACAAUCGAACCAGACAGUAAUUGAAUCUUUUAAUAAUAUUUAAUAUUACUUUGCUGUCUCUUUUAUCAUUU